AACGAACGCUGGCGGCAUGCCUAACACAUGCAAGUCGAACGAGAUCUUCGGGUCUAGUGGCGCACGGGUGCGUAACGCGUGGGAAUCUGCCCUUUGGUUCGGAAUAACAGUUGGAAACGACUGCUAAUACCGGAUGAUGACGAAAGUCCAAAGAUUUAUCGCCAGAGGAUGAGCCCGCGUAGGAUAGCUAGUUGGUGUGGUAAAGGCGCACCAAGGCGACGAUCCUUAGCUGGUCUGAGAGGAUGAUCAGCCACACUGGGACUGAGACACGGCCCAGACUCGUACGGGAGGCAGCAGUGGGGAAUAUUGGACAAUGGGCGAAAGCCUGAUCCAGCAAUGCCGCGUGAGUGAUGAAGGCCUUAGGGUUGUAAAGCUCUUUUACCCGGGAUGAUAAUGACAGUACCGGGAGAAUAAGCUCCGGCUAACUCCGUGCCAGCCGCCGCCGUAAAAC
rnacentral:rRNA from 1 species